CCUACGGGAGACAGCAGUAGGGAAUCUUCCACAAUGGGCGAAAGCCUGAUGGAGCAACGCCGCGUGGGUGAAGAAGGUCUUCGGAUCGUAAAACCCUGUUGUUAGAGACGAAAGUGCGUGAGAGUAACUGUUCACGUUUCGACGGUAUCUAACCAGAAAGCCACGGCUAACUACGUGCCAGCAGCCGCGGUAAUACGUAGGUGGCAAGCGUUAUCCGGAUUUAUUGGGCGUAAGGGGAACGCAGGCGGUCUUUUAAGUCUGAUGUGAAAGCCUUCGGCUUAACCGGAGUAGUGCAUUGGAAACUGGGAGACGUGAGUGCAGAAGAGGAGAGUGGAACUCCAUGUGUAGCGGUGAAAUGCGUAGAUAUAUGGAAGAACACCAGUGGCGAAAGCGGCUCUCUGGUCUGUAACUGACGCUGAGGUUCGAAAGCGUGGGUAGCAAACAGGAUUAGAUACCCCAGUAGUC
rnacentral:rRNA from 1 species